AACGAACGCUGGCGGCAUGCCUAACACAUGCAAGUCGAACGAGACCUUCGGGUCUAGUGGCGCACGGGUGCGUAACGCGUGGGAACCUACCCUUAGGUUCGGAAUAACUCCCCGAAAGGGGUGCUAAUACCGGAUAAUGUCUUCGGACCAAAGAUUUAUCGCCUUUGGAUGGGCCCGCGUUGGAUUAGCUAGUUGGUAGGGUAAAAGCCUACCAAGGCGACGAUCCAUAGCUGGUCUGAGAGGAUGAUCAGCCACACUGGGACUGAGACACGGCCCAGACUCCUACGCGAGGCAGCAGUGGGGAAUAUUGGACAAUGGGCGAAAGCCUGAUCCAGCAAUGCCGCGUGAGUGAUGAAGGCCUUAGGGUUGUAAAGCUCUUUUACCCGGGAUGAUAAUGACAGUACCGGGAGAAUAAGCUCCGGCUAACUCCGUG
rnacentral:rRNA from 1 species